CUAGACCUAGAGUUUGAAAGUUGAACAAUCUAUUUAAAACACAUUCUAUUGUUGUGUUCUGCAUCCAUUUGAGUAUCUUCAGUUUCGAAUUGAUCUCAAUCAAAAGGGAAUUUUUCCAUUUCGCAAUCAAUGUCAAUCUUGAUUGAGGCUCUAACUUGAUUAAUCUAGUCAUAAUGAUCCUUUAUGAUUAUGACAAAUGAUGCAGCUGUUGAUUUUUUUUUGUUCAACUUUCAAGAUCAAGAAUUUUUAUAAUAUUUUUUAUCAUUGAUCUUGUGAAGUAAAUUUUCUUGAAGAAAAUAGUUAUCAUAUUAUUGAGUACAGAUGAAGUUGGUUCAAAUUUUUCAUGGCUGAAGAAUACAAAUCGAUGCAUAAGACAGUUUAUAUAUAGUUGUAAACGUGAGACCAUCGUAAUAACGAUAAUAAUUAUUAAAAAAACUGAUACAACCCUGAGAUUUAUUCUCGCUAUGUUUUGGAAAUUUUACACUCUCUCAGGGGAAUUCAACUUGAAAUAAAAGGGAUAUUUAUGCUGUGGAAUAGUAAUUGAAAAUUUCGGUUACAAACCAGCUAACUAAAAUGGAUAAAGAAAUCGAGUUGAGAUCACGUUGACAUUAACUUCAAAGAUAUUCACUUAACAUUCCAUUCCUGAAAGACGAGUUAACGGUUUGACUUAAUUACACUUUGAUGAUAAAAUAAUUGGUCUAAUAUUAUCUAAAUCAUCAAAUAUUUUUGUAUAUUUUAUUCUUCAUCGUAAUGAGUUAUCAUCUCAUCUUAAUAAUAAAAUUAUUUUUAUAGUCACAUCAACGACCACAUUCUACAGUAAUUAAACACUUUUAAUUGGAUAUUUUCAGAUGAGAAAAGAUCUUAAUAAAAAAUAGAAAAAAAAUUUUUUUCCUUGUUGUCAAAUACAGAAAUUUAUUAAUAGUAUUUGUCUUGGAGUACAAAGAUUGAAAAUUCCUCCGAAAUUUUGUGCUAUUUUAAACUUGUGGAGGUUAUGUGUGGCGGUGACAUACAAGCGAACAUGGCGAAAUUAGAAAGGAUUCAACAUGUCACAGAAACCCGAAAAAAAAAAUUUUGUGUAAAUGUUCAAUUUUCAAAAUGAUACGUAGGUGGGUUACAAGUGUUUUCAAAUUAUAGUUACCAUUUACUGACAUAGAAAAAAUCUUCAAGUUUCACAGCUAGUAAUUAAUUGGUGUGAUCCAAUUAUUGGAGUCUUUUCUACAUGUCUGAGAGAAAAAGCAUGUAGGGAUUUGGAUGUCGUUUUUGACACUAAUCUUAGUAAAACACAAUAAAUUCCCUUCAUGGAUACAAUGUGGAUAGAAUGGACACCAGAAAGAUAUAGACUGCAGUGGGUGACGAUUCACGCGUCGCAACUUCCUCUUUUUUUAGUGAUUAAUGUCGCGAGAAGAUACACAUAAUAUAUAUGGCUCGUGAGUCUGAACGAGGCGCCCGGUGCCUCGUGUCGCUUCAAGAAACGAAUGCCAAGCUGGGGAGAGAAAAGAAAAGAGAAAAAACCCUGCUACAAUGCUUGUAUCUAACAAAUAAGAAUGCCAUUCAAAACAAUUUUUUCGUAAAUUAUUAUGUUUAUUUUGAAUGGAAUUAAAUGAGACAUACAGAUGAUUUUUGGUGAUAAAAUUUUGAUAGUUACACGAGACAUUGGUAAAUUAAUUUUUGAUAUCAUUGUAUCUUUGUAUGAAAUCAUUUUUUUCUUCUUUUCUUUAUCCAAUCUUUUGAAAGUGAUGAAUGUAAUAGAUAGAAGGUUAAAAGGAUCACUGUGAUAUCGAUACAUUUCAAUCAAAUCAUGUCUUAUACCUAUGUCCAAGAGGGUCCAAUCCUAGAAGAAGACUCAUUCCAUUAUGGUCCUUUCAUGUCAUAACAAGAAACUAAUGGAUUGCUAGUGAUAUUUGAUCAAGGAUGAUGACGUUAGGUCCCGAUGACACGUCAUAUUGCUACUAGGAAAUUCCAGGGUACACGAUGUGAAGGGAGGAGAGCAAAAACAAGCCGGUAAGUAAUACUCAACAUUCCACUGAUACGAAUUAAAGGAUGGGAACGAGAAAAUAAGAGUGUAUGGGGAAAAUCUUAAAUGAAGUACAGGUAAAAAUAUUUUUCAUACUGUUCAUUUCAUUGUAUGAUUUACAUUUAUGCAUUUCUUGAUGUUAAAUUAUUUUUUCUAAGACAUUCUAUAUUGCAAUGAUAUUAGAUUGUGUGAUAAUGGUUGCCACUAUUGCCAGUGGAUCAUUAAAAUAAACUACUACAAAUCGUACGUGGCAAAAUGCACGUAGGAGUAAUAUAUAUACAUGAUCGUGCACUAUGCUAUAUGAAUGACUAAUUAUAUACAUAUACUCACACUACUUAUUUAUCAUCUGAUUUCCUGAGUAAGUGCACACGAGUUCUGCGUAAUGAUUAAAGUGUACGAAGUGCACGAAAAAUUCUGGGUGGAAGGUAAAACCGGUUUGAUAAUGACAUAUAUCACCUAAAGAGUGAUGAAUCUUUCUAAUUUAAGCAAUUAAAUGUAUUCUUUUCUUCAUCAUUAUUACCAUAAUAAUAAAACAUCAAACAGUUUACCUUCUUUUAGAAAAUUACCAGCAUAUUUUACUUUUAUUUUCACUUUUUUUUUUGUUCAACACUUGGACAAAAAAUAAUUAUUUUAAUAUACUCAAGAAGUAUAUAUAAUGACCCUUCAAUCAAAUAUCAUCAUCUUUAUUUUGCAUUUAUAUACAAGUAAUAAUAGUCAUAUGACACUUUGAUGUUAUUUUGGAGCAGAUAACAAAUUUUUAUUUCAUGCUCUAGGUACACAUGGGAGUGGCAUUGAAAGAUCAACUUGAUGUCUUCUAUGCUCUUAACGCGUGAAGAAUAUACAUCAUAAAUAAAUGGCCAGCUCAUCUCAGAAGAUUGAAAGAUAACUAAUGAAGUUAUUGCAUUAAUAAUGAAAUAAGUGCUUGUGGCUAAUGACCUAAUAAUGACACGGAUGGUGAAAAGACCUUUAGGUCCAUUCUGUCUGAUCAUCAUCUCAAAUUAUAGCUCUGCAACGACUUAAUCCACCAUUUGAGUAAACGCCCCGAGGGAUCACGAAUCCUACAGCCAUGCGAUUAAGCGAUGGUUAUAGUGGGCGGACGUGAGGACGUUGGUAGCACUCGUUUAACCCGCCGUCGAUUAGCAACACCUUACAUUUAUUCCUCAAGAACGGAUAUUUAUGCAUGUACAGAAUAUCUUCAAGAGCCACUUCAUGCUGACAUUUACGCUUAGUUUAUUUUACCAAACCUACAAACAUGUAUUACCUUUUGUUACGGUUGUAACU